CCUACGGGUGGCAGCAGUGGGGAAUAUUGGACAAUGGGGGCAACCCUGAUCCAGCCAUGCCGCGGGUGUGAAGAAGGCCCUCGGGUUGUAAAGCACUUUCAGUGAGGAAGAACGCCUGGUGGUUAAUACCCAUCAGGAAAGACAUCACUCACAGAAGAAGCACCGGCUAACUCCGUGCCAGCAGCCGCGGUAAUACGGAGGGUGCGAGCGUUAAUCGGAAUUACUGGGCGUAAAGCGCGCGUAGGUGGCUUGAUAAGCCGGUUGUGAAAGCCCCGGGCUCAACCUGGGAACGGCAUCCGGAACUGUCAAGCUAGAGUGCAGGAGAGGAAGGUAGAAUUCCCGGUGUAGCGGUGAAAUGCGUAGAGAUCGGGAGGAAUACCAGUGGCGAAGGCGGCCUUCUGGACUGACACUGACACUGAGGUGCGAAAGCGUGGGUAGCAAACAGGAUUAGAUACCCUUGUAGUC
rnacentral:rRNA from 1 species